rnacentral:rRNA from 1 species
AUGGAGUCACAUAGGCUCCAAACUAAGGCGAACCGGGUGAGAGAUGACAGCCUAAUAACCCAUAAUCAGUUCAUCGCGGUAGAUCUGAGCGCAAAGGAUCCAGUGGCUCGAGAGUUUUGGGCGAAGGCGCGGGAUAUCAUCAUAUGUUCCAGGAACCUCGAAGAAGAGCACAAUGCACAAGCCGGAGGAGGAGGGACAAUGCACAUGACAGUGGCAUGUGAUUUCGCCAUGUUGCCGUAUAGAGUUGACCGUGAUGUGUGCAAUAAACCAAUUAUUGGCAAAUUUGCCAUGAUCUUGUGGCCCAGUCCCAAGACUCUAUGGACUAAGAUUAGCUACUUUGCUUCUUUAGCUGCUCCAAUUAGGAACCAAUCCUCUGAGUGGUUUAUCCUCUUCAAAUCAUUACUAUUCAUUCCGGGGGCAAGUGCAAACGAAUCAGAACCCGACCUGAGCGUGAAGGCUGGAAACCCAACGUCUGCGACCGCUUCGGCCCAAUUUCAGUGCAGUCAUCUGUGCCUAGCCAAGCUGGAGGCCAGGACGCCAAAGGUGAAGGACGUAAUUGGAAUGUCGGUCCAGGUGGGCGCCAAGGCGGCAGUGGAGGCGGCCGUCAAGAAACCCUCCACGUGCAUCGCCGACUGCCUCGACGGCCUUGCCUCCACGUGGAGCGAAACAAGAAGCUUCCUACUCGCUCCCAUUGCAUAUUGGUUAUUAACAAAUUUGGCUGAAGCGGUCGCCCUUGUAGCAUUGAUGGCGUCCAAGGUUCUGGUUCUGGUUUGGACACCAGGGGUGAUGACGAUGGCAAAAGGGUUUAAGGCAGCAACAUGGCCAUGUGUGGUGAUGGAUGAAAUUGAUGGGCGGAUGAUUUGGUCAGAGGCCCAUCCAUCUGCAGAGCCCAUCGUAGAAGCCGUACAAGAGACACCCAUUUGCCUGGCAAAAAAAAAAGUUGAGCAUUUGGUAGAUCCCGAGUUACCUCGCCGGCCACCCCGAUGGCGCCGCCGCACCCAGCACCAUCGCCGAAUCUGCCGAUCCCUUCGAACCCAAGAUGAGCUCCUCGAGGAGAUCUUCGUCCUUCUUCCCACGGCGGCAGACCUAGCCCGCGCCUCCGCGGCGUGCCCCUCCUUCCGCCGUCUCAUCACCGACCACGCCUUCCUCCGCCGCUACCGCGCCCUCCACCCGCCGCCUCUCAUCGGCUUUGUCGACGACAACGCCUUCGUCCUGGCCCAGCCGCUGCACGCCUCCGCCAUCGCCGCCCGCACCUUCGCCGGCUUCGACUUCUCCUGCUCCUCCUUCCUCCCAUCCACCGCUGGCCGUACCUGGAGGGCGAUUGACUUCUUGGACGGACGCGCCCUCCUCACCGCCGCCCAGUCCAAGACGAAUGCGACAGCCCUGAUGUCAAGUUGUUCGCUGAGCUUAGCGAUGUCUUCUUAUGUGGUCGACUAUAUGCUGGUGGUUUCCCACCAUCAUUAUGUGCACCAACCAUAUGAAGUGUUGGAAGCUUAG